rnacentral:rRNA from 1 species
CAAACUGGGAUUAGAUACCCCACUAUGCUUAGCCCUAAACACAAAUAAUUACAGAAACAAAAUUAUUCGCCAGAGUACUACCGGCAACAGCCCGAAACUCAAAGGACUUGGCGGUGCUUUAUACCCUUCUAGAGGAGCCUGUUCUAUAAUCGAUAAACCCCGAUAAACCUCACCAAUCCUUGCUAAUACAGUCUAUAUACCGCCAUCUUCAGCAAACCCUAAAAAGGAACAAAAGUAAGCUCAAUCACAACACAUAAAGACGUUAGGUCAAGGUGUAACCCAUGGAAUGGGAAGAAAUGGGCUACAUUUUCUACCUUAAGAAAAUUAAUACGAAAGCCAUUAUGAAAUUAAUGACCAAAGGAGGAUUUAGUAGUAAACUAAGAAUAGAGUGCUUAGUUGAAUUAGGCCAUGAAGCACGCACACACCGCCCGUCACCCUA